rnacentral:tRNA from 1 species
GUUACUAUAGCGAAGUUUAGCCGCUUGAUAUUUAAGACAGAAUCUUCGUGAUUCUAUUGAGA